rnacentral:rRNA from 1 species
UACUUGGAAUUUUUUUAUAAGGAUACCUACGGAAACGCUGUAGCUAAUACUUGUUGUCCUAUUUUACUUUAUGUUUUGUAGGGCGUAUUCGUUGGCAAAAGCGGUAACGUGUGUACCUUUUCCUGUGGAAUCACAACGAAGAAGUGACGCGUCUAUCAGUGUUAUACAUUUGAUGGUUAGCGCGUACCAAUCGAGUUUCUGAUCUAUCAGCUAAUCACGAAGGUAUUGUCUUCGUGAGGCCGUGACGGAUAACGGGGAAUUAGAGUUCGAUUCCGGAGAGGGCGCCUGAGAGAUGGCGACUAUAACUACGGUCAGCAGCAGGCGCGAAAAUUGCCCAAUGCCGACAAGGCGAGGCAGCGACCAGACAUAACGGGGUUCGGCCGUUUUCACGGUUGAUCACUGGAUUCGGUUCUCUCUAAAAACGAGGACGAGAGGAAGUUUAGAUCAAGUUGAAGUGCCAGCAUUCGCGGUAAUACUUCCUUAAACGAAUGUAUGUUAAAGUUGUUGCGGUUAAAACGCUCGUAGUUGAUUUUCCCCCGCGGACUGUUGUACAGUUGCUUUUAGAGUGUUUUCUAAUGUGUCACAAUUAAAAAAUAGGUUGUUUUUCGACUGGUUUUUUUUUUGUGCUGUUAGAAAAAUAUUCUUGUUAGCGUACCGUACCACCGCGGCUUGACAUUAUUUUUUUGCCGUAAUUUAUUACGCGUAGAGAAAUAUGUCGUUACCUUGAGUAAAUUAGAGUGUUCAAAGCGGGCAUGUGUCCGUUUGAAUAUCCCAGCAUGGAAUAACCACAUUGCGCCUUUGUUCAUAUUACAAUUCCUAACACACGAAUUGCCGCAUGAGCAAAGGUGCCGAUUAAUAGGAGCAGUUGGGGGCAUCCGUACUCCGGAGCUAGAGGUGAAAUUCUGUGACUUCCGGAAGACGAUCGACUGCGAAGGCACUUGCCCGAAAUGCGUCCAUUAAUCAAGAGCGAAGUUAUGGGCAUCGAAAAAGAUCAGAGACCUUUGUAAUCCAUAAAGUAAACUAUGCCAUCCGGGAUGGAGUUGACUACUUAGAUGUUUGUCUUCGCACGACUGGAUUCAAUAAAGUUGUUCUCUUUACGAGGAUAGUUUUAUUGUUUCACUCUAAGGUGGUGUAGACGCGUCGCAUAGGGUUGAUUCUGUCCCCGUGAGAAAUCCGAGAUUUUGGGUUCCGGGGCGAGUAUAAGCGCAAGCUAGAAAGUUAAAAGAAUUGACGGAGGGGCACCACAAAGCGUGGAGCUUGCGGCUUAAUUUGACUCAACACGGGAAACCUCACUAGUGUAAGACAGCGGGAGGAUUGACAGGUUUGCAGACCUUUCAUGAUUCGCUGGCGGGUGAUGCAUGGCCGUUCCUAGCUCUUGGCGUGGGCUGUCUGGUUAAUUCCGAUAACGAGCGGGACCUCCCCUUCCGUUUGUGCAGUUAUCAGUUUCUUUCUUCGGAAAGAAAGAAAAGUUGUUCUAUAUAUAAAUGAUUUUGGUUCAGAUAAAUAUAAUAGACAUUCGUCUGUUUAUAUUUUAUUUGCUAAUUUCUAUUUAUUAUGGAUACUCUUUUCUUUGAUAAUUAUUUAAUGCAGCACGGAAGGACGUCGCGUGUUUAAUGCGAGGCAGGGAGGCAACAACAGGUCUGUGAUGUCCUCAGAUAUGCUAGGCUGCACGCGUGCUACACUGGCGCGCGCACCGGGCUUUAUAAAGAUGUAUUUUUUAUAUAUAUGAAUUACAGACUCGUUCUGUACUUCUGUAUAUUUUAAAAAUACAUGUUUCCCCUCUUGAGAGAGCGGGGGAAUCCUGAAUGCGCGCCGUGACGGGGAUCGAAUCUUGCAAUUAGGAUUCUUGAACGAGGAAUGCUUAGUAAGCGUAACUCAUCAGGUUGCG